AUUGAACGCUGGCGGUAGGCUUAACACAUGCAAGUCGAGCGGGGUGAUGGUGCUUGCACUAUCGCUUAGCGGCGGACGGGUGAGUAAUGCUUAGGAAUCUGCCUAUUAGUGGGGGACAACAUCUCGAAAGGGAUGCUAAUACCGCAUACGUCCUACGGGAGAAAGCAGGGGAUCACUUGUGACCUUGCGCUAAUAGAUGAGCCUAAGUCGGAUUAGCUAGUUGGUGGGGUAAAGGCCUACCAAGGCGACGAUCUGUAGCGGGUCUGAGAGGAUGAUCCGCCACACUGGGACUGAGACACGGCCCAGACUCCUACGGGAGGCAGCAGUGGGGAAUAUUGGACAAUGGGGGGAACCCUGAUCCAGCCAUGCCGCGUGUGUGAAGAAGGCCUUAUGGUUGUAAAGCACUUUAAGCGAGGAGGAGGCUCUUUUGGUUAAUACCCAAGAUGAGUGGACGUUACUCGCAGAAUAAGCACCGGCUAACUCUGUGCCAGCAGCCGCCGUAA
rnacentral:rRNA from 1 species